rnacentral:lncRNA from 1 species
AAGGAAAUAAGUAGAUUGAGGGAAUUUAUGGAAUUUAUUCCCUCAACCUAAAUAGGUAACUCUCAUAUUAAAUAUAUUAUUAAAUCAGAAUCUUGAUUUGCAUAAUAUAUUCUUAGGGUUUGCACAUUUUCCACGUGGCGCCUCCUGAUUGGUUGUCAAAUUUAUUUGCUCCCACAGUUGGCCUUUGAGAUUAGAUUGC